GAUGAACGCUGGCGGCGUGCCUAAUACAUGCAAGUCGAGCGAACAGAUAAGGAGCUUGCUCCUUUGACGUUAGCGGCGGACGGGUGAGUAACACGUGGGUAACCUACCUAUAAGACUGGGAUAACUUCAGGAAACCGGAGCUAAUACCGGAUAAUAUUUCGAACCGCAUGGUUCGAUAGUGAAAGAUGGUUUUGCUAUCACUUAUAGAUGGACCCGCGCCGUAUUAGCUAGUUGGUAAGGUAACGGCUUACCAAGGCGACGAUACGUAGCCGACCUGAGAGGGUGAUCGGCCACACUGGAACUGAGACACGGUCCAGACUCCUACGGGAGGCAGCAGUAGGGAAUCUUCCGCAAUGGGCGAAAGCCUGACGGAGCAACGCCGCGUGAGUGAUGAAGGUCUUCGGAUCAUAAAACUCUGUUAUUAGGGAAGAACAUACGUGUAAGUAACUGUGCACGUCUUGACGGUACCUAAUCAGAAAGCCACGGCUAACUACGUG
rnacentral:rRNA from 1 species